rnacentral:tRNA from 2 species
GGUAGGAUGGCCGAGCGGUCGAAGGCGCUUGCUUGGAGAGCAAGUGUGGCAGAAAUGUCACCCAGGGUUCGAAUCCCUGUCCUACCGCCA